UAGCUAGCUAACGUUACCAUGCUAAGUUAUCUGGUUAGAUAGUUUCCACCGAGGGACUCAUCCGCAAGCGGAACAAUGCUAAAUGAGUUUAACACAUGUGCCGUACCUGGUCUUCUUCCGUAAUAUCGAUAAACGCCGGGACGCUCAUUUUAGGUGAUUUUGUGAGCCUAGAUGAUGAAAUCCACGCUCCCACCACUGCUGAGACCUGAGCGGAAAAGAAAAGGCAACAGUGCCGGUGAAACUCUUGCUGUUCCGGGUCAUGCUGUUAAAGCAACAGUAACCUAAAACAAAACCGCGGUAGAAGGAUUUCUCAUGACUUAUUGAGAAAGCAUUUGGUCCCUCUCCCUACAGUGUUACUUUCAAAAACUAUGUGUAAUUUACAAAAUAUGUACCGCUAUUAACGACAUUAAUUACUUUAAUGAAUAGUCUUUGCAAAUGACUUGAAAAUCACCCAUCAGCACUGGAUAGUUUCAGCUUAUGCAACCCCUUCCUUCAGAGAUAUCAAUCUCCUCUCUGGAAGAGACCCUGGACGUCUUGGAUGAGAGUUACAGAGGUGAACCUGAUUUCCAGGAGAGGUUAUCUGAUUGAGCUGCAGUCCAUCUUUAUAGACCACCAUGGCAGGCCUGGUCCAGAGCCCUCCAACCCAGAAACACUGUCAGUGUCAUAGGGCAACACUCUUCCACCAUAUGACCGCUGACCUAUGGGUGCACUUGUUGGGCCUCUGUCCCAAGUGGGAUCCUGUGUAUUGUUACCAUGGCAGGUCAUUUGGGGAUUGAGGAACAUCUAGCGUUGAAUGUAUAUGAAUACGAGAGCCGGGGGCGAAUCGUGGGUUUGGCAAUAGAGAGGAAAGGUGAUCAUCAACAACAAGA